CCUACGGGUGGCUGCAGUGGGGAAUAUUGCACAAUGGGGGCAACUCUGAUGCAGCAACGCCGCGUGAGUGAAGAAGUCUCUCGGUGUGUAAAACUCUAUUUGCAGGGGAGAAGAUUAAGUCACCUGAGUAUUAUGCCCGGGCUAACUACGUGCCAGCCGCCGCGGUAAUACGUAGGGGGCAAGCGUUAUCCGGAUUUACUGGGUGUAAAGGGAGCGCAGGCGGUUAGAUAAGUCUGAAGUGAAAGCCCGGGGCUCAACCGCGGGACUGCUGUGGAAACUGCCUGACUGGAGUGCUGGAGAGGCAAGCGGAAUUCCUGGUGUAGCGGUGAAAUGCGUAGAUAUUAGGAAGAACACCAGUGGCGAAGGCGGCUUGCUGGACAGUAACUGACGCUGAGGCUCGAAGGCGUGGGUAGCAAACAGGAUUAGAUACCCCUGUAGUC
rnacentral:rRNA from 1 species